AGCUCCAAUAGCGUAUAUUAAAGUUGUUGCGGUUAAAAAGCUCGUAGUUGGAUCUCGGCGGGCAGGGGCCGGUUCGAUGCUUGUCGCUACUGGCCCAUUUGCCCGUGAUUUUAGCAGAGGUCUCGGGGUGCUCUUCACCAAGUGUCCCGCGACGCUGCUAGGUUUACUUUGAAAAAAUUAGAGUGCUCAAGGCAGGCCCAACACGCCUGAAUAAUCGUGCAUGGAAUAAUGGAAUAGGACGUCGUUUCUAUUUUGUUGGUUUUCGGAAAUGGACGUAAUGAUUAAUAGGGACAGUCGGGGGCAUUCGUAUUCAGGCGACAGAGGUGAAAUUCUUAGACCGUCUGAAGACGAACUACUGCGAAAGCAUUUGCCAAGAAUGUUUUCAUUAAUCAAGAACGAA
rnacentral:rRNA from 1 species